CAGUCACUUCAACACUGAUUCCAGUCAGCAGAUCAAACUCUGAGACGACUUCAAGACAAACUACAGCAGCAGCUCCUGCACAAGUGAUUGUGAUUAUUGUUGAGUUUGCAGUGUUUGCUGCUCCUACUGUGAUUCUUCUUCAGAUCAUCUGUGCAAGAAGAGCUGGGAGGAAGAACUUACAGCACUGAGAGGAAAUAGUGAAUAAAAUACUCUCUACUAAUAAAAGGCCAAAUUACAGCAAAAAAAUGUAUCUUCAUCUCAAUGAUGUUAUGAAUAUUUGCUGCAGCUUUCAAGGAUAUUUGUUUAUACAUAUAAUAUCUGGCCAUUUUCUAAACUUGAUUCAUCUAAUCAUUACAUUAAACUUUUUACUGAUGGUGUGACAUGUCUGUUAAUUAUUAUAAAACAUAUUUACAGAUGUAUCUUAAUGUUUUUAUUAGUUCACUGAUUUCAAUUCAUAGACAAAUUCUUACUUAUGAAAAUAUAUGAAUUCACAUACAUCAUGCUGUCACACCCCUGUGGACUGUUUGAGUUGGUUUCUCCCUCUGUUGCCCAUAUUUGGUCCUUCCUGUUCUUGUCAAGUCAUUAUUAGUUUAUCUCCUUGUAUCAUUAUCACCCCUUUAAAAGUUGGAUUCAGUUCAGUGCUGUUCGUUGGAUCUUAAAGUGAUGUUGGUGUGUGUUUCUCUGCUGUUCCUGUCUGGAGUUACCAUUUGUGGAGUUUAUUAAAGAAUUUUGUUAUA